CAAAGGAGNGNCAACCCUUNUCCCAUAGGUUGCCAGCACGUAAUGGGUGGGAAACUCUAUGGGAGACUGGCCGGUGAUAAACCGGAGGAAGGUGGGGGAUGACGUCAAGUCAUCAUGGCCCUUAUGGGUAGGGCUACACACGUGCUACAAUGGUCAGUACAGAGGGUCGCAAACUCGCGAGAGUAAGCUAAUCCCAGAAAGCUGAUCGUAGUCCGGAUUGGAGUCUGCAACUCGACUCCAUGAAGUCGGAAUCGCUAGUAAUCGCGAAUCAGAAUGUCGCGGUGAAUACGUUCCCGGGCCUUGUACACACCGCCCGUCACACCAUGGGAGUGGGCUGCAAAAGAAGUGGGUAGACUAACCUUCGGGAGGUCGCUCACCACUUUGUGGUUCAUGACUGGGGUGAAGUCGUAACAAGGUAACC
rnacentral:rRNA from 1 species